GGCCGCCGCCGCUGUCGCUGUCAGCGCCGGUCUGAAGAGUGACAGCGCCGCAAAAGCAGGCGUGUGCACCGAACCCCGCGCGCCUUUACCAAACAGGUGCAUCCGCCCAUCUCCUGGUGAGUGGACCCAGCUCGCAAGAGCUCAGGUAACCAUUCAUGAGCCCGAGGCUGUGAGAAAUGCUGGCUGUGCAGUGGGGAAUUCUCACCAGAUUUUCUGAAGCCGUCCUAGAAAUACACUCUUCAGAUUGAUUCAGCAUUACCAGCUUAUCCAACAAAAGUAUUAACAUAUACAUUAACAACGUCGAAGGUAGCCUACUUUAAGAGAAAAUAUGCAGAAGAAGAAGAUUUACAUCAAGAUUACCAUGGGUAUUUUCCAAAACACCUGAUAUUACCUGAGGACAGGACUUGCAUUCUCAAACUUUCUCUGGAGAAGCUCAGGUUUCUUGAAGACCCAGAAACCUACCUAAGAAGGUCUGUGUUAAUUAACAAUUUGCUGCGGAAGAUCCAUCUAGAGACGGAGAAAGAGAGCUAUGAAUACUUUAAAGAAGCUCCCUGUUAUAAGACUGGUUAUUCGGAUACAAGAAAACGGCUGAAGUUUAUGGUACAGGAAUGCUGUUCUCAGUCUCUGUAUUACGAAGAGCUGCAUUCGUAUCAUAUUGUGCCUUACACUUCGGAGAAUGCCAUUUAUGGGAUGGGCUACAGUAGCAGCCACUUGGAGCAAAAUUCGCAGUUGCUUAUUUACAAAAUGAAUUAAAGUAAACUGUUAAGUCCAUUGAUACUUUGUUUCUAAAUGCCUGAACCGUUUAUAGUGAAGAUGUUAAUUUAAGGCACUAAUUGCCCGUGCACUUGAUAAUCAAAGAUGAGAUGCAUGCUGACCUGAUUGGAGAGAACCAUGGUUGUUACUCAGCAGUCCUUAUUACCAUCAAGUGGAAUUGAAAAUAUGUCCACCUAGCAUAAAGCAGUGAAUUAGUGCUUCAGCGGCAAGCAAUGAUUUCUUCUUUCCUUUUUUUUUUUUAAAUCAGGUUUUGUAGAGGGAUUAGAACCUUUAAGCCUCCAUUUUGAAAUUCUGACAUUCUUAGUGAAAAGUAAUUAACAGAUUAAAUAGAAACUGUUGUGUCCCUGAAGAUUAAGAGUACAACAAAUUUAAUUUUCUGUAAAUGAGGAGAAGGAGGGUUGAUUCUUUCUAAAAUGUUUUGGCUUGCCAAGCAUCGUGCCAAAUAACUGUUGACGUCAUUCUCCUUUUACCAUUAGUUUCAAUUCCAAAUGGGCCAAACAUACACUGCAAUUUAACUGCUGAAAGUAACAACCAGAUUACUCCAAAGUGAUCCAUUUUAUUCUUUUUCAUUUCUUUUCUUUUUGUGGUCUUGACAGGCUUUUCUUUUUAAACAUGAAACUUAUUAAAAUAGCCUUGCAGAUGGGCUUAUCUCUAAGUUCCAGGGGUUGAUUAAAAAUUUUAGUGGGCAUUUAGUUAAGAGUUCAAAUUUUAUUUAUAGUAUCAUUUUUUUUAAUAGGCCAUGAAGCUCAGGAAAAGGAUAGGCAGGUAAAUUUUUAAAAAAUAAAUUGGUAAUUUGAAAAUCCAUACCUGCAAAAAUUGGUGAAAACAGAAAGUCUACAGGAUGUUAUUUCUUCAACUGGCUAAAAGUGCAUUUAAAGCUACCUUUAUGAAACUUUGCACUGAAUUUUGUAUAAUGGUCAAUCAUUCACUAUUUGAUAAAUUUUGUUGCAGAAUGCCUUUAGUGAUGAAGUUUAGAUAAGUCCCUAUAUUUUGCAGCUUGAAAGAUAAUUCUUUAACAGGUUGGAUAGAUUCAUAAAAUUGUUUGAAGUGGUUCAUAAGUUCUUUGAGGUUUGAAUGAGAUGUCUAAUUUCAACGUCUGGAGUUUUGUUGGAUGGAACGUAUCGUUUGAAGAAUUGUCAUUAACUGAUAAAAACAGAUUGGAAAAACUAGGUGCCAAAGGAGUAUUUAAGAGAAUACCAAAGACUCAAAGAUGAGUGACAGGAGGACUCUAAUCAUGAAGGUGAAAAUCUACAGAUUGCACAGGAGAUAGAAGAACAUCACUGAGGGUUUCGGAAUAAUUUUGCUUCCUGCUGUGCUAUCAUAGCACUUUAUACAUAGUGAUGAUAAUCAAGGGCACUGCUUUAAAUGAAAAUACUACUGGCCUUGAGUAGUCAUAUACCUUUGCAAAUUCAUGUAUGGUGACCUACCAACAUAGAAUCUUCUCUAGUUGAGGGCUGACUUGUAACCAAGAAAGCAUCAUUGUAUGGGAGAGAAUUUUGUUUUUCGUUUUGAUUCAAUACUUGGUCCCUCCAAGGAAUCAUUGAGGUGAUUAACAUGAAUGCAUUUGGUAAAAUAAUAUUGGUGCCGUAAUUAGCCUGUAUUGUUGAAGACCACAUAGAUAUAUAACUGACAAAAGUAUCAAUCUUCUAUUUCAUUGUUCAAUCAAAAAUUUAUAAAAAAAAAACUAGAAGAAGCUGAAAAAUUGUAAUCGAGCUUAAUCUUCAAAGGCUAUGUAGUAUGAAUGGUAAGAUAGCUUUGAAAUCCAGAUAGAAAUGUUUUAAAAAUAAUUUAAGGGCAAAAUUUGGAACUGAGUUUCAAACAUUUUAUUUCACUUCUUGUAAGAGAUCUGAUUUCUCAGAAUGAUUCUUUAAAGAUAUAGAUUUCUUAAACAAUGGGGAUAUUAAUGGAAAGCCUCCUAAUUUGCUAGAAUAAUUCUACAAUCAUAUAAUUUAAAAAAUAGAAUAGUUCUUUAAUGCUUUAAAAUUUUUUACUGUAACUGACUUUACUUGGUUUAGGACAGUGUCUAUAGGAAAAAGACACCAGUGCUAAUAGAUAUGAUUUACAAAAUUACUAUAUAAUUGAAUUGGUUGAGGGUAGAAAUAUACAUAUUGUGAAGUAGAAAAGAGAGAGAAAAAAUGAUCAAGAAAGGUGAAAUUGAAAUCUUAUUGUAUGUCAAAAUCUUAAAGUAAGAACUCUUUGGAAAUGAACCAGUAAUGAAUUAAAUCUGUUUGUUUCUGUUUUUUCUUUUUAUGACAUCAGUAACCAGCUUCUCUGAUCUAUUUGUCAUGUGUCUUAGAAACCAGCGGUGUUUGUGAAUAUGCUUUUUCUUUAAAAAUAUGUGUUGAUUUCAAAUCAAGUUAUUAAAAAAAAUCUUUUAGGGCAUUUCAAUUCUUUUUCAAUAAACAACUCAUAGAUAAGGAGUUGACUAAUGUUAUCUUGAUUUUGAAGAGAUAAUUCAUUUUUGUUUAAAUUAUGCAAACUUCUCUGAGUUAACCAGUAGAUUGCUGUCAUUUUACCAUGGCAUACAGAUAUACAGGGAGGUUCUACAUAGGUUGCUCGCGUCCCAGACCCGGUGGCUUAAAAUUCACGUCCGGCUUGUGUGCGUGCG